rnacentral:rRNA from 1 species
GAUGAACGCUGGCGGCGUGCCUAACACAUGCAAGUCGAGCGAUCUUCUUCGGAAGAGAGCGGCGGACGGGUGAGUAACGCGUGGGUAACCUGCCCUGAACACACGGAUAACAUACCGAAAGGUAUGCUAAUACGAGAUAAUAUACUUUUAUCGCAUGGUAGAAGUAUCAAAGCUUUUGCGGUACAGGAUGGACCCGCGUCUGAUUAGCUAGUUGGUAAGGUAACGGCUUACCAAGGCGACGAUCAGUAGCCGACCUGAGAGGGUGAUCGGCCACAUUGGAACUGAGACACGGUCCAAACUCCUACGGGAGGCAGCAGUGGGGAAUAUUGCACAAUGGGCGAAGGCCUGAUGCAGCAACGCCGCGUGAGCGAUGAAGGCCUUUGGGUCGUAAAGCUCUGUCCUCAAGGAAGAUAAUGACGGUACUUGAGGAGGAAGCCCCGGCUAACUACGUGCCAGCCGCCGCGGUAA